rnacentral:lncRNA from 1 species
CUUAUAAAAAGAUAUUUAUAAAGAUUUUAAUAAACAAACAAAACUUACUAGGAGGAUGAUGAGAUACUUGUUCAGCAAUAAAUGAAAGCUGAUUUUCUUUGCACCAAGCCACUCCUGACUUACGACCUGCAUGGAAACUGCAUAAAUACCAACGAACUACUUGAACCAUCCUAUCUUUAGGUGUAGGCAUAUCUGCUAUGCUAAAAUGUACAAUAUUUUAAUGUAUUAAAAGUUUUAAUAAAUUUGUAAAAAAUUUUUACUAAA